GAUGAACGCUAGCGGCAGGCCUAAUACAUGCAAGUCGUGGGGCAGCAUGAGUAGCAAUACUUGAUGGCGACCGGCAAACGGGUGCGGAACACGUACAAAACCUUCCGAUAAGUGGGGAAUAGCCCAGAGAAAAUUGGAUUAAUACCCCGUAACAUAUAGAGUAGGCAUCUUCUUUAUAUUAUAGCUUCGGCGCUUAUGGAUGGGUGUGCGUCUGAUUAGGUAGUGGGCGGGGUAACGGCCCACCAAGCCUACGAUCAGUAGCUGAUGUGAGAGCAUGAUCAGCCACACGGGCACUGAGACACGGGCCCGACUCCUACGGGAGGCAGCAGUAAGGAAUAUUGGACAAUGGGCGAAAGCCUGAUCCAGCCAUGCCGCGUGAAGGAUUAAGGUCCUCUGGAUUGUAAACUUCUUUUAUUUGGGACGAAAAAAGGGAAUUCUUUCCCACUUGACGGUACCAAGUGAAUAAGCACCGGCUAACUCCGUGCCAGCCGCCGCAGUAA
rnacentral:rRNA from 1 species